AUUAUCGUUCAACAAACUGAAUGCUACGAAGAUGCCGCGAAAGACGAUUCGGCAGUUGAAUGCAUACAUUAAGGGAACAGCUGUCGUGUACGACCACACCAACACCAAACUCAUUAGCAGGAAGACUAAAGUCAAAGCAAGGAGGAAACAAGCUUUCCUGUCCGUACUGAAUUACGGGAAAACGUCUUCGGAUGAUUGCUGUGCAAAGAGUAAACCAUCAAAACGACGGAUUUCACGACAAUUGAGGUACCCAAAUAAAGGCCGAAGCCAUGCCGGGAAACAGAAGCUGCAAGUCUUUGUCCGGACCCCCUCUUACAUACACCGAAGACGCUUUGCUUCCGUCUCGAUCCAGGGACUUCCAUCUCAAGUUUAAAAGAAUGGAUACAAAAGAAGAUCGGUGUUGAGGCACGAUAUCAGCGUCUGUACAUCAGGAGAAACUUUCAGCUUUGUGACUUGUUGACGCUUGAAGAUAAUGGCAUCGAGAAAGACGAGAACAUCUCACUCCGUCUAUCCUUUGAUGGUUUACUAGGCGGUGGACCAAAAGAAAGGGCACAAUUUGAUCAGUUUCUCUGGGAUAUCGCCACAAAAAUUGAGUCGACUUGGAAGGAAGUGGCCAAAAACCUCGGAUUUGAAGAAGCAGAC